AUUGAACGCUGGCGGCAGGCCUAACACAUGCAAGUCGAACGAGUGGCGGACGGGUGAGUAAUGUCUGGGAAACUGCCCGAUGGAGGGGGAUAACUACUGGAAACGGUGGCUAAUACCGCAUACCAUCGGAUGUGCCCAAAUGGGAUUAGCUAGUAGGUGGGGUAAGGGCUCACCUAGGCGACGAUCCCUAGCUGGUCUGAGAGGAUGACCAGCCACACUGGAACUGAGACAAGGCCCAGACUCCUACGGGAGGCAGCAGGGGGGAAUAUUGCACAAUGGGCGCAAGCCUGAUGCAGCCAUGCCGCGUGUAUGAAGAAGGCCUUCGGGUUGUAAAGUACUUUCAGCGAGGAGGCGUUACCCGCAGAAGAAGCACCGGCUAACUCCGUGCCAGCAGCCGCGGUAAUAC
rnacentral:rRNA from 1 species